AUUCAAUUUGCUGCAGAACAAGUCACCCCGAAACAGUCGCUUAAGCUAAUGACGAUAUUUAUUUUGCUCACAGGUUUGCAAUUUUGGUGGGGCAUGGUGGGCACAUUGUGUCUCUUCUCUUUGGCAUCAGGUGGGGUGACUGGAAGGCUCCGAGUAGAAUUCUCUGAAGGGGCAUGCCUGUGUUGGCAGGGGAUGCUGGCUGUUGGCUGGGACUGCAGUUCAAUGGGGGUCAUUUGUCUCUCCAAGGUUCUGCAGGAAGGUGUGGGACUGGAAUAUUAAUGUGGCCAUUUUUGGAAAAGACAACCUGCUCCAAGAAAUUCUCACCUUUUCCAUGUCAUCUGUACCAGCUGUAGCUGCAGAGAAAAUGUGAAAAGUGAGCCAGAUUCUCUCAGCUGCCCAGCUGCACAGAGCGAGCUGGGGACAGAGAGAGGGAGACACAGGAUCC